rnacentral:rRNA from 1 species
UACAGAGGUCUCAAGCGUUGUUCGGAAUUACUGGGCGUAAAGGGCGCGUAGGCGGCCUCUGCAAGUCGACUGUGAAAUCUCCGGGCUUAACCCGGAAAGGUCAGCCGAUACUGCAGGGCUAGAGUGCAGAAGGGGCAACUGGAAUUCUCGGUGUAGCGGUGAAAUGCGUAGAUAUCGAGAGGAACACCUGCGGCGAAGGCGGGUUGCUGGGCUGACACUGACGCUGAGGCGCGAAAGCUAGGGGAGCGAACGGG